rnacentral:tRNA from 1 species
GCGCGCCUAGCUCAGUGGUAGAGCAUCGCCUUCACACGGCGGGGGUCACUGGUUCGAAACCAGUGGUGCGCACCA